CUGUGGUUUACCCUUGCCUCCAGGACUAGAAGGACUUUGCUUGGAGGUGGACAAACAGAGCAGCAACGAGAAGACAGCAGCAGAUUGCAAGAUAUGAUCAAUGGAGCUGAUUCUUUAGACGACCUUGGGAUACUCUUCAUUUAUUUACCCAAAUGAAACGCCUGUUGCGUGCAGAGAGGAACAAAAGAAAAAUGAACAGCCACUGUGUUAAAGGUUCUCCUGGAGACCCACCUUAUCUGCCAGCAACAUAGACACUAAUCUGAGAUUAUAAUUUCAAGAGUUUGUCAGUGGGGGCACCCUGGAGCAUCAGCUGAAGAUACAUGGCUGCCUUGAGAUGACCGGAAUAGUCAACUGAAAAGCCCCUUUUCAUGGCGGCACUGAGUAGAUUUGAGAGACGAGUGAAUGGGCAGAAACAAGGGGUGAAGCCUUGACGUGGUAUUACUGCUCACAUGUAUAAGCAUAUAUUACAUCUAUUAACAUAAGGAUAUAUCAAAGAUUCUAAACAUCCAUGAAAUAUAUUAUAUAAAAUUGCUUUCAAACAAGUUUGUGUGAUUAUUGGAAUAGCCUGGAAGUCUCCAUGUGAGCCAUUUAAAAUUAUCAUUGUAAGAAAUUAAUGAUGCCCAUGAAAAGAUCUCUUUUUAGUAGACUUAUGUAGGAUUUCUUUUUUUUAAAAAAAAACUACUGUCUGGUUAUUGACAUUUUCUGUAGUCAAUUUUAAGAUAGGAAAAGCUUUCCCACCCAGGGGCUGGCUGAAAGAAGGGUCAAUGGCCAAUGGUCUCAGCUUUGCCAUAGGCUCAUUAGACUUCACUCAUGAUGACACCUUUUAAUAGAAUCUACUAAUGUCUUAACUAUGGGGUGCAUACUCAACAGGAGAGCUCUGAUAUAGAUUUUCAGACUAUGCUUAAUGUACUACUUUUCUAAUGCAAUGUCUAAAUCACGUUAUAUCUCAGCGUACUGGAGAGGCCUUAAGCAUAAACCUGAUUAGGAAUUUACGUGCCUGAUUUUUAGGGUAACUUCUGUUAACUAGGUAACUGUUUUGUUGUUUGUUACAAUGCCCCGUUGAAGAUAGGUGCUACUAAAGAUAGGUGCAACUGGAACAGCAGGUCUGUAAAUUUUGGGAAACAUUAUAGGUCCAUGCUUGUCCUUUUGCCACAAUGUACUGCUGAGUAGUUCUGCAAUACUAUUGCAUGGCAUAGUCUUGGUUAGAGAGACAGAUCUGUGGUUUGGGGGUGGGACACACCCAAUGCUGACUGCUUGUAAGGGGAAUAUAACUAUACUGAAGGGCUUUGUGAUGUCGCAAGGAAGCCUGUAACUUAGCAGCCAUAGAAUAAUUAAGUCUUUGGCAAGACAGAACUGCAAGCUAGUUACACUUUUAGAGCAAUAAGUAAACAGACAAUACUUGUAUUUAACUCUAAAAAAAAUACUUAACUCUGGAGCGCCC